rnacentral:rRNA from 1 species
GACGAACGCUGGCGGCGUGCUUAACACAUGCAAGUCGAACGGAAAGGCCCUGCUUUUGUGGGGUGCUCGAGUGGCGAACGGGUGAGUAACACGUGAGUAACCUGCCCUUGACUUUGGGAUAACUUCAGGAAACUGGGGCUAAUACCGGAUAGGAGCUCCUGCUGCAUGGUGGGGGUUGGAAAGUUUCGGCGGUUGGGGAUGGACUCGCGGCUUAUCAGCUUGUUGGUGGGGUAGUGGCUGACCAAGGCUUUGACGGGUAGCCGGCCUGAGAGGGUGACCGGCCACCUUGGGCCUGAGAUACGGCGCAGACUCCUACGGGAGGCAGCAGUGGGGAAUAUUGCACAAUGGGCGGAAGCCUGAUGCAGCAACGCCGCGUGCGGGAUGACGGCCUUCGGGUUGUAAACCGCUUUCGCCUGUGACGAAGCGUGAGUGACGGUAAUGGGUAAAGAAGCACCGGCUAACUACGUG